CUCCACGUUCAUUUGUGUUCAUACCUUGUCUCAGAUCAAGUCACACGGUUUUAUUGUGUGGACCAUUUUUUCUGUCUGCAGAUACCAUGUCCCUGGAGAAUUUGUUGAAUUUCUUCGUAUCAUGACCAGGCUCGGCCGCAAAAAGCCUAUAUUUGUCUUUGUCAAGAACACCAAACCUCUGCUGCAUUGAUGUCUGCUAUCGAUGGGGAACACAAGGACGAAGAUGGAUAUCUUCGCAUGACCUACAGUGGAGAAGAUAAUGUUUGUGGAUCCAAUGUAGAGCAUUAGAAUGCUCUUAAUUAGAACUUUAAAAUGUGUAAACUUUGAUAUCAAUGGCCUCAGUAUGGUGCUGGAAGUAGUAUACCUUAGUUUUAUGACAUGGCAAUUUGCAAGGGACUAUAAGGCAUGGAGUUGAAAUAUAUAUUUUAAUGAUUUGCCAGUUAUCUCUUAAUGUCUAAA